rnacentral:rRNA from 1 species
AGAGUUUGAUCAUGGCUCAGAUUGAACGCUGGCGGCAGGCCUAACACAUGCAAGUCGAACGGUAGCACAGAGAGCUUGCUCUCGGGUGACGAGUGGCGGACGGGUGAGUAAUGUCUGGGAAACUGCCUGAUGGAGGGGGAUAACUACUGGAAACGGUAGCUAAUACCGCAUAACGUCGCAAGACCAAAGAGGGGGAUCUUCGGGCCUCUUGCCAUCAGAUGUGCCCAGAUGGGAUUAGCUAGUAGGUGGGGUAACGGCUCACCUAGGCGACGAUCCCUAGCUGGUCUGAGAGGAUGACCAGCCACACUGGAACUGAGACACGGUCCAGACUCCUACGGGAGGCAGCAGUGGGGAAUAUUGCACAAUGGGCGCAAGCCUGAUGCAGCCAUGCCGCGUGUAUGAAGAAGGCCUUCGGGUUGUAAAGUACUUUCAGCGGGGAGGAAGGUGUUGUGGUUAAUAACCACAGCAAUUGACGUUACCCGCAGAAGAAGCACCGGCUAACUCCGUGCCAGCAGCCGCGGUAAUACGGAGGGUGCAAGCGUUAAUCGGAAUUACUGGGCGUAAAGCGCACGCAGGCGGUCUGUCAAGUCGGAUGUGAAAUCCCCGGGCUCAACCUGGGAACUGCAU